GCCCGCUCAGAAACUCAAAGGAAGUUGACGGGGCCCGGCACAAGCGGUGGAGUAUGUGGUUUAAUUCGAUGCAACGCGAAGAACCUUACCUGGUCUUGACAUCCCGGAGACCCUUAGGAAACUAGGGGGUGCUUCCAUCUGGAAGAAUCUGGAGACAGGUACUGCAUGGCUGUCGUCAGCUCGUGUCGUGAGAUGUUGGGUUAAGUCCCGCAACGAGCGCAACCCUUGCCUUUAGUUGCCAGCAGUUCGGCUGGGCACUCUAAAGGGACUGCCGGUGUUAAACCGGAGGAAGGUGGGGAUGACGUCAAGUCCUCAUGGCCUUUAUGACCAGGGCUACACACGUACUACAAUGGCCGAUACAAAGGGCAGCGACACUGCGAGGUGAAGCCAAUCCCGUAAAAUCGGUCUCAGUCCGGAUUGGAGUCUGCAACUCGACUCCAUGAAGUUGGAAUCGCUAGUAAUCGUGGAUCAGCAUGCCACGGUGAAUACGUUCCCGGGCCUU
rnacentral:rRNA from 1 species